ACAUGCAAGUCGAACGGGUAGUANCNAUACUACUAGUGGCGCACGGGUGCGUAACGCGUAACCAACCUGCCCUUGACUGGGGGAUAGCCCGCCGAAAGGCGGAUUAAUACCGCAUAAACUAGCAGCCUGGCAUCAGGCAACUAGUAAAGAUUUAUUGGUCAAGGAUGGGGUUGCGUGACAUUAGCUAGUUGGCGGGGUAAGGGCCCACCAAGGCGACGAUGUCUAGGGGAGCUGAGAGGCUGAUCCCCCACACUGGCACUGAGAUACGGGCCAGACUCCUACGGGAGGCAGCAGUAGGGAAUAUUGGGCAAUGGGCGAGAGCCUGACCCAGCCAUGCCGCGUGCCGGAUGAAGGCCUUCUGGGUUGUAAACGGCUUUUCUCAGGGAAGAAAACGACCAUGCGUGGUACACUGACGGUACCUGAGGAAUAAGCACCGGCUAACUCCGUGCCAGCAGCCGCGGUAAUACGGAGGGUGCAAGCGUUGUCCGGAUUUAUUGGGUUUAAAGGGUGCGUAGGUGGUUUGAUAAGUCCGGGGUGAAAGCCCACAGCUCAACUGUGGAACUGCCCUGGAUACUGUCAGACUUGAGGGUAGACGAGGUUGGCGGAAUAGAAGGUGUAGCGGUGAAAUGCAUAGAUACCUUCUAGAACCCCGAUUGCGUAGGCAGCUGACUAGGCUACACCUGACACUGAGGCACGAAAGCGU
rnacentral:rRNA from 1 species